UCUUAUGUACAUGCCUAUAACAUUAACACACUGGAUCCCAUUAGAAAAUUGUAGUUAAGCACACUUGGGCUAGAGUAGUACUAGGAUGGGUGGCUGCCCAAGAAGUCCUAGUGUUUUACAUGCC
rnacentral:rRNA from 1 species